UGGGGCGGGUAUAGAAGUGGUCAAAAUCAAGCAGAGUUGUGAAGAACCCUUAGGUACAACAGAGUAUGCAGCCGAGAGACAGCUCAGACAGUCACCCUGUCUAGCUUGUCAAUAGCAGGAAAGAUGGUAAGAGGGCCAGCCAGAGCGUGAGUGACAAGUGACACGCUCUUAAGCUCCUGCAUUUGUUCUCUCAAGGUCAGGCCUGUGAGCGGUGGCUGGCACCUUCUCAAGAGCCUGCUGAUGUACAAUCAUCUUACCUGCUUCACAGACGAAGAAACUGCGGUUCAGAGAGGACCCUCACAGGUGUGUGAACAUCCAGAAGUCAGCAUGGUUCUAAUUUCUACCUGGCGGUUGGUAUGAAGAAUUUUAAACUGAGAAACGUGUCAGCUCCGGGUCUCUCUCCCUUUCUCCCCAGUGUCAUGGCUUCUGGAGGUCUGCUCUCUCUGGGGGUGUGAAACCUCGGCAGACAGCAGAAGAACCCAACCACAUGGACAGUCUGACUCUAGCUUUUGGCCUCAUCAUCCACUUCAUGACUUCUAACCAACUGCCCAUUUUUACAUGCCUUCCUGUCUGUGAAUGAAGAGUUAUUACAGGAACCUCCAAAUGAAAUAGAAGUCAGCAAGUGAACGCUUGUUGAAUCCUGGCUGACCUCAAACUCACAGAGAUCCACCUACCUCUGCCUCCCUUGCACCGGGAUUAAAGUGUGCACCACUGUGUCUGGCUCAGACUUACACCUUGAGGGGCUCAGAAAACAGAAUUUUUGUGUAAAAUAACAGAAAACAUUCAAAUAAAUGGGAUUUGCUUGUAGUUCUACCAAUUUCAAAAUUGA